GUGGAUUAGAUACCCUAGUAGUCCACGCCGUAAACGAUGGGCACUAGAUGCUUGGGGGAGCGACCCCCUGAGUGUCGACGCUAACGCAUUAAGUGCCCCGCCUGGGGAGUACGGCCGCAAGGCUGAAACUCAAAGGAAUUGACGGGGGCCCGCACAAGCGGUGGAGCAUGUGGUUUAAUUCGACGCAACGCGAAGAACCUUACCUAGGCUUGACAUAGCCGAGAAACCCUGUGGAAACACGGGGCCCUCUUCGGAGUUCGGUUACAGGUGCUGCACGGCGGUCGCCAGCU
rnacentral:rRNA from 1 species